rnacentral:pre_miRNA from 1 species
UAUAAUGUUUUGACUCUUCAUCUUAUUUGAAAUUGUUUUGUGAUUAAUAUUUUUUCUUACUAGAUGAUAAAACAUGAAUAAUACUUUAUGCGUGACUAAUUUUUUUAGUUUUUAUACAAAUUUUUUAAAUAAGAUGAAUGGUCAAACGUUGGACUCGAAAA